rnacentral:lncRNA from 1 species
GUGAGUACAUCGUUUUUCAUUCUGAACAGCGCUGUAUGAUCCCCUAUAAUCUGGGAAAUACAUAUCUUGAAAUCUAAAGAGACUCCGUUGAUAAUAAGUAAAAUUCAGGAGAAGAACGUUAAAAAAUCCUACAGAGUGACUUUUCAGUUAAGUUUUCUUUGUGAAAUUAGACCUCAGAGGAAUACAGUGUGCAGACAUUAGAGGAUUAUUUCUUGAGAAUUUCAUUGGCAGAGUCUGAAUGAUUUCUAAAUGAAAAGGGUACUAAAGCCCUGAGUCCAGUUUCUCUGCAUCCUUACCAGCCCUUGUUAUAUUGUCUUUCUCAUUAGUGUCCCAAGGGUUGAAAUGGUAUCUCUUUCUGGUUUUAAUUUGCAUUUCCCUGAUGGCUAAUAAUGUGGAGAAUCUUUUCGUGUCGUAUUUUUUUUAUUCUAUGUAAAAGUCCUUUCUCCAGUAAACUCUCUAAGUACUAGCCACAGGAGAGCAUCCUCAAACCCGGCUUCACGAUAUUUAUCAAAAGCUCAAUAACUGCUUAUGUAUGCUUGCCAAAAGGAUAUUUGAUGUGGGCCAUCACCUAAGUACUUAAAUUCAUUUUUUAUAUCCUAUCAGAUCAUCAAGAGAUUCUAAACUUCUUUUGAUCCCUUACAGAAUUGUUUGUAUUAACCAGUAUUUGACUUAAUACCGUGUAUGUACAUUGACAGAUGUUAAAAUCAGCCCUUUAGCACAUUCUACUUUAAAAUGAAGACCUUGCUUUUAAAAAUGUUUCUUCUUAAUGAGUUUCUACUGAAGAAACUUCUUUCAGGUCACAGGACAAGAUAAAGCUUCUCCUGUCAGUGAAUCUACUUUUAUUUUACUUAUUUAUGAAUUCAUUUUUAAUGUGGUAAAACAUACAUAAAAUGUACAUUUUAACUCUUUUGGGAUUCCAACUCUGUGGCCUGAAGUAUAUUCAUGUUGUGUGAUCAUCCCUACUGUGUAUCUCCAGAACUUUCUGUCAUCCCAAACUAAAACUCAUUAAACACUAAGCCCUCAUGCUGUCCUGCCCCCCACCCCUGGAGACGACUAUUCUUUCUCUUUCUCUGAACUUGAAUAUUCUAGGUACCUCAUAUGAAUGGAAUCAUUGAAUAUAUUUGUCCUUUUUGCGUCUGGCUUCUUUCACUUAAAGUCAGAAUUUCAUUCCCUUUUUAAGGCUGAAUAGUAUUCAUUGUAUGCAUAUACCAUCAUUCAUUCAUUCAUCCAUCAGCAGACAUUUGGGUUAUUUCCACCAUCUCGGCUACUCUUAGUGGUAUAAAAUAGCAAGAGUCCCUGUUUUCACUUCUUCACAGAUGUUACUGGCAUCUAAAAUGGAGACUCUUUUCCAGAAGGUUUUCCGCUUACUUCCCCUAGAUCCCGUAGACGAAUCACUGUCUAUGGCAGCUAUAGCCUUACAAAAUGUAUUUCUUAGACAACGUAGAAGUUGAAAUCAGUCCUUGAUGCAGGGGCUGCAGAGUUGGAUACCAGUGACGAAAACCAGUCUCGUUCAUCUUCAUCAGAGCCCUUGGGUGACCAGGUAAAUUACUGUGAGCAGUAAUAUUUUGAAAGGAAUUUUUUUUUUUUUUUUGAGCAGUAGGUCUCAAUAGCGGGCUCAUGAAAUUUAGUAAAAACCAUGUUGUAAACAGAUGUGUUGUCAUCCAGGUUUUGCUCCAAGUGUAGAGCACAAGCAGAGAAGAUUUGGCACAAGCCUUGAGGGCCCCGGGGUUUUCAGAGUGGUAAGUUAGCUUUGGUUGCAACUUCAAAGUCACCAAGCGCAUUAGUCCCCAGCAAGAGCCUUUCCUUUGAGGCCAGGCGCUGGCGUCUCUCUGGUUAGGAAAGUCCUAGAUGACGUUUUCUUAUAAGGCUCUUCUGUCUACACUGAAAAUCUGUUGUUUGGUGCAGCCACCUUCACUAAGUAACUAGAUCUGCUGGGUAAUUUGCAGCUUCUACAUCAGCACUGGUUGCUUUAGUGUUUUACGUUACGAAGGUGCCUUCUUUCCUUAAAUUUCAACGAACCAACCCCUGCAAUCUUCGAAUUUUUCGUCACAGCUUCCUCACAUCUCUCCGCCUUCACAGAAUUCAGGAGAGUUAGGGCCUCACUCUGGAUGAGGCUUUGGCAUAAAGGGACUGUAAUGAUCGGUUUGAUCUUCUCUCCAGACUUUCUCCCUAUCACCAGCAGGGGUGUCUUGCUUUCUUAGCAUUCGUGUGUUCAUUGGAGCAGCACUUUUAAUUUUCUUCGGAAACGUUUCGUUUUGCGUUCACGACUUGGCUGGCUGACUCGAGAAGCCUAGCCUUUGGCCCGUCAGCUUUUGACCUGCCUUCCUUCCGAAGACGGAUCGAUUUGGGUUUUGGAUUUAAAGUGAGACAUGUGUGACUCUUCCUUUCACUUGAACUUGAACACUGGGGGGGCCAUUGUCGGGUUAGGAACUGGCCUCCUUUCAGUAUUGUUGUUUCUCCGGGAAUAAGGACGCCCGAGGGGCGGGAGCGAGACCUGGAGGCGGGGUGGGGGUGUCGGUGGAGAGUCAGAACGUGCACAUUUAUCAGUUAAGCUCACUGUCUUCCACGAGUGUGCUUGGUGGUGCCCCAAAGCGCUAGUCGUAGCGUCAAGGCUCCCAGAUCACAGGACACCGUGGCAGGUGGCGUGGUGGCUGAAAAGCUUGAAAUACUGUGAGAAUUCCCAAAACGUGACCCAUAAAGGGAGCAGAUGCUGUUGGGGAAAAUGAUGCCAACGGACUUGCCCAACACAAGGUUGCCACAAACCUUCGACUUGUGCGUUUGAAAAAAAAAAAAAAAAA